rnacentral:rRNA from 1 species
CCUACGGGAGGCAGCAGUAAGGAAUAUUGGUCAAUGGAGGCAACUCUGAACCAGCCAUGCCGCGUGCAGGAAGACAGCCCUCUGGGUCGUAAACUGCUUUUAUUCGGGAAUAAACCUCAUUACGUGUAAUGAGCUGAAUGUACCGAAGGAAUAAGGAUCGGCUAACUCCGUGCCAGCAGCCGCGGUAAUACGGAGGAUCCAAGCGUUAUCCGGAUUUAUUGGGUUUAAAGGGUGCGUAGGCGGCUUUUUAAGUCAGGGGUGAAAGACGGUAGCUCAACUAUCGCAGUGCCCUUGAUACUGAAGAGCUUGAAUGGACUAGAGGUAGGCGGAAUGUGACAAGUAGCGGUGAAAUGCAUAGAUAUGUCACAGAACACCGAUUGCGAAGGCAGCUUACUAUGGUUUUAUUGACGCUGAGGCACGAAAGCGUGGGGAUCAAACAGGAUUAGAUACCCUGGUAGUCCACGCCCUAAACGAUGAAUACUCGCUGUUAGCGAUACACAGUUAGCGGCUAAGCGAAAGCGUUAAGUAUUCCACCUGGGGAGUACGGUCGCAAGAUUGAAACUUAAUGAAUUGACCGGNGNGAGAGAGACGAGACGACGACGAGGGAGGAGG